CCCGACACUAGGCAAGCGCGCUCUGACCGAGCGCUAACUCUUAUUUUAUUAGUGGACUCAGUUGCAUUUAUUUGGUUCAACUUUAGCGCGCUUUCUCCGCCUCCAACGCCAACACUUUUCAUCUCGCGCCCUACUCUGCUCUCUUUCUCCGGCGGAAUCGACAUCUGGCCACGACUACAAGUGAUUACUUGAAGGUAGCUCUUCAAUCGCGAGGCACCAUUUGCUGAGGGCUAUACACUUCCAGUGACUGUUGCUGUCAGUAUCUCCUCUUUUAUUUUUAAUAUUUCCUUUUUGUUAUUUCUGUAAUUUUUUGGCUGUAAAACUAAAUUAUACGUAUGUAUUUUGUGAGGAUUCCGUUGAAUUGCAUUCGUAAUUAGUGAUUGCUUUGAAUUUGACUAAAGGAUCUCGCAUUACCACCGCCCUAUAAUUUUCUGUGUUCUUUUGGUGCCACUUGUCAAUGAAGUACGAGCAGAACUAUGGGGUAAAAAUAAUAGGUGAUUUCUUCGCAUUUGCUUAAAUCUUGGUGGAUAGAGUUACCUAGUACUUGUGUUAGUGGGGGUAUCAGGUACCCGGUUGAGUUACCCGCAAACUAGCCCUGAUUCAUUAAAAAAAAUGUCAAUCAUUUUAAGUUCAGAAGAGCAAUAGUUUUGCUGCAAUGUUUUUACCUUUGAAUAAAAUAAAAUUCUAAAAAAAUUAGAUUGAUGUUUUUCCUUUGAGAAAGUUAGAUUUAUGAUUUGGCACUUUAGAGUAUCAAUUUUCAUUAGUGCAAAGGUUCAUUUUGAAUCUGUACUGGCAGUUGAAGUAGGUGACUGGAACUUUAGUUCAGAAUAGCUUAUAUUCGUACUCAAUGAUUGCAAAUCCUGCGUGAUUGGUUUUGAAUGGGUUAAAGAAAGUAGGUGACUCGAGCGCCCCCAAAAUGAAAGAAGUUUGAGUUCAGAAAAAGUUGGUUUUUUAACUUAAUGAUUGCAAAUCAUACAAGAUUGGUCUAAAUGGGUUAAAGAAAGAGGUUAUGUUCAUAUUCAUCUUAUCUCUUACUGCCCUCUUUUAUCUCAAUUGAACCAGCUUAUAAUAGAGAAGAUGUCAACUGAGUUGCUUCUUGAAAUAUCUUUGUGGCUUCAAACAAGCAUCAUUUAGUGUGGAGCAAGUACACUUUUAGCCUGCUAGCAUAUCUGUACUUUUGAGUUCUAUACUUGCAGAUAAUGAGAAAUGCAUUUUUCUUGCUGAAAAGCUACUUCCGUCUGCUACUUAUUUUGUACUUUAAGUUCUACACUUGUUGUAGGUUUAUAUUAACUCCACAACACAAGAGAGACUUGCUGCAUUAGUAGUUGUUUCAAUUAGUGUUUAAAUUGCUAGAGCCCAAUGUUUAUCUGAACCUGGGGCGUAAAAGAUGAAUUGCAGUGAGAAUAUGGAGUCCAAUGUUUAUUUUCACAUAAAAGAUGAGGCAGAAAGGCUGCUUAAAGAGAUUGAACUGAUAAUGAAGAAUGUUAAGAACUCUAAAUUGUAUGCUGGAAUGCGCUUCGAUCUCGAACGGAGUAAAACUUUUCAACAUCUGUUUCGCCUUUUAGGCUCCCAUUUACAUGUCCAGGUGGUAAUCUAUGCUUUGGGAAGCAUGGAAUACAGUUUUCAUUCACAGUUUCAGCUUGUCGUGGUUCUCCUACUAAAACGAGAUUUUCCCAAUUGGAUUGGCAAUAUAGAAGUAUAUGAUCCUUUAUUGUCUCCAGCUGAUAUGAUAGUUUUGAAGAAACUGGGAUUUGAGGUUUUGACCAUUGAUGAAAAUUGUAGGAGACAAGUUCGGAGACCAACAAUGUUCUACAUGCCUGUUCCUAAUUAUUAUCUUAUCGGCAACCUGCUGUGAGCAAACUGGUCUUCGACUUGUAUUAACCAGAUUUUUCUACUGACAAACUCAUUUCGCCAUUCGUUGACCAGUAUUUCACCAUAUAAUUUAAAUUGAGAAAUAGACCAUUCGUUGACCAGUAUUUCACCAUGUAAUUUGAAUGGAGAAACAGUAAAACGCCUAGUGAGAAUUCUCCCCUUCACAACAGAGAUUGACAUAAAAACUAGCUAUGAAGAGAUCUAUCCUAAUGUGUUCUCAAGAUUUGCUUGGCAUUUCUUUGACGUGGAUCCCAGCAUUGACAUGGAAACUUCACUACCUGUGACUAAGAUUACAGAAUGUAACAGAUAUGGCGGACAGCGACCUUGGUUGGAUAGACAAAGGUAUCUUGAAGAGGAAUUUUUGGAAGAUAUGCGUAGUGAUAUGACUAGUGAGGGAUUUGCGCAAAUUCUUGGUGAACAUCGUGGGCCUUGUCGUUUAAGAUGCAACUCGGUUCCUCCUCCUCUAGGUUGGAUUAAGCUAAACAUCUAUGGGAUCGGUACAGAAGGUGAUCAGCCAUGACGAUAUAGUGGUGUCUUUCAAGACGAAACUGGAAUGUGUUUGGGUAGUUAUAGUGGUACCAUCAUGUUGAAGACAAUGUGAUUGCUGGACUGGAGGCCUUGAGGCAUGGGUUAGUCAGAUGUGUGGAAGGAAAGCCGAAUGCACAAAGGUUGAUUGUGGAGUCAGAUAAUGUUAUACUUGUCCAAUAUGUUAAUGGUCACCCUGAGCCAAAUGAAAUAACCACGCAUAGGUUGAAAGAAAUUUUCGACUUGCUAGAGCGUUUAACUUGUGCAAUUUACCAUGUGUAUGAAGAAGCCAAUGAAGCUGCUAGAGACUUGGCUCUGAAAGAUGAACGUUACAAUUGUGCAUAGAUAGCUUUGUUUUCGGCUCAAGGGGUAGGGUGAAGCUUUCCAGGUUCAGUUAGGUUUCACAUGUAAUUUGCAUUUUAUGGCAAGUGAUGUUGCAGCAGACUGAUGCAAACACGGUUCCUGAGAGUACACAUCACAGAGCACACUUCUGCGUCUGUCCGACUUCUCAUACAAGUUUUUUUUUUGUUUGUCAAGUGAUGACAAAUGCAGCAUUUGAAAAAGCAAAAAAGAGAGGAAAACAAAUGCAUUCCGGAGACAAAGGCAAGCCUUAUAUGUUAUCUAAUUUGUGCAAAGCGAAGCAAAUUUCUUGAUCUAUGUUAAUGCUCACUGAUUGUAUUUAGUCAUCUUUGUCUAUAAAUUUGGUGAUAUUAUACUAUUUGAACUAAAGUUUUCAGCCCAAGAAUGAAGAAUAUGUACUAUUUUUUUCAUGAGACAAGAGCGAGAUAUGAGAUGUUGAAGAAUCAAAUAAACUAUAGGAGCAAAUUAAGGUCAAUAUAGUUCCUGCAACAACAUGGGGAUCAUAAUUAAAGUUGGGAGAUUAAGGAUAGGAACAGAACUUCAAAAAUGGAUGAUAAGUCAAUUGGUCUUCCUCGGGAUCAAGGAAGCUGUUGGUCUGGUACAUUAUACAUACCUGUAGUUAGUUCUACAAUCUUCUUUUUCAAUUAUAUAUGGUGACUACAUGUAAAUUUUUGCCAGAGGUAUCAAAGACUUUAACAAUGAAGCAGCUGAUGAUGAAUGUAAGACAUUCAAGCAAACUGUCCUUGAAUUUAGUCGUAGAAUCAUCUUUGUACCUCCUUUCAUAUCAGUUUUGCAAUUCUGUUUAA